GACGAACGCUGGCGGCGUGCUUAACACAUGCAAGUCGAACGAGUGGCGAACGGGUGAGUAAUACGUGGGGACUGCCCGAUAGAGGGGGAUAACUACUGGAAACGGUAGCUAAUACCGCAUACUAUCGGAUAACCCAUAUGGGAUUAGCUAGUAGGUGAGGUAAUGGCUCACCUAGGCGACGAUCCCUAGCUGGUCUGAGAGGAUGAUCAGGCAGACUGGGACUGAGACACUGCCCAGACAGCGACGGAGGCAGCAGUGGGGGAUAUUGCACAAUGGGGGAAAACCUGAGGCAGCGACGCCGCGUGGGUGGUGAAGGUUUUCGGGUUGUAAACCUCUUUCGCUAUCGAACGGGUAGGUAGAGAAGAAGCGCCGGCUAACUACGUGCCAGCAGCCGCGGUAAUAC
rnacentral:rRNA from 1 species